AUCCAACUGACGAGUCCCAAAUAGGACGAAACGCGCGUCGUGGAU
rfam:Schistosoma margrebowiei strain Zambia genome assembly, scaffold: SMRZ_contig0000689